GAUUCUCUUUCUCACCUGCAAAAAGCUUCACUUCUUACAGCUUUGCUGGGGGAGAAAAAGAACAGUUCCACAGCUUUGCUGGGGGAACACAGCCAGUCCUUGCUGGGACAUCAGCACAGUUUCCACAACCCUCGUGGAGUAAAUCAAAAGGACACCUUCCAGUUUGACAGAAUCUGCAGCAACCUUGCCUGCUACAUUUCCUCAAGGUUUCCAAAUGCAUUAGAAUUACCCAAAGAACCGGAUGAACAGAUUCAUCACCAUUGAUCAAAACCGACUUUGAGGAUGUCCUUCAGGAUUUGGCUACUUCCUGCUUCACUACUGCCUUGAAGAUGGAUAAUUGAAAGUAGCAGCAAACACAGAUAGUCUAUGGUUCAAAUAAUGCUAUCAUGCAUGUGAAGGAAACCAACACCAUCAACAUGGAUGUUCCUUUUUCUUCAUGAGAGUGUUUUCCAGGAGUAGACUGAACAUCCAGACAAAAGGUAAAGGUUUCCCCUGACGUUAAGUCCAGUCAUGUCUGACUCUGGGGGUUGGUGCUCAUCUCAAUUUCUAAGCCGAAGAGCCGGUGUUGUCCAUAGACACCU